rnacentral:rRNA from 1 species
GAUGAACGCUAGCUACAGGCUUAACACAUGCAAGUCGAGGGGCAUCAGGAAGAAAGCUUGCUUUCUUUGCUGGCGACCGGCGCACGGGUGAGUAACACGUAUCCAACCUGCCCUUUACUCGGGGAUAGCCUUUCGAAAGAAAGAUUAAUACCCGAUAGCAUAAUGAUUCCGCAUGGUUUCAUUAUUAAAGGAUUCCGGUAAAGGAUGGGGAUGCGUUCCAUUAGGUUGUUGGUGAGGUAACGGCCCACCAAGCCUUCGAUGGAUAGGGGUUCUGAGAGGAAGGUCCCCCACAUUGGGACUGAGACACGGCCCAG